rnacentral:RNase_P_RNA from 2 species
CGACCAACCUAGACAAUCGCUCUUUUGAAUGCUUCUUUUAGAACAUAUCAAAAGGGAGGAAAGUCCGGACAUCCGAAUUCCUAGCUCUUUGAGUUAGGGAAGGAAAGUAGUACCUUAGUUUAUAAGGCAGGGAGCGAUCUCUGGAAAGGGCCACAGAAAUAUACCGCCCGGAGCUUGUCGAAGGGUAAGGGUGAAAAGGCGAGGUAAGAGCUCACCGCUAUUUGCAGUAAUGUAAGUAGGCAAGGCAACCUCUACUUGAUGCAACCAAGUAAAUUUUGGGCAUUAGAGAAAUGAUUGUCGUCAUAUAUGAAGCUUGUAUAUGAAACAGAAUCCGGCUUAUGGGUUGGUCAUUUU